CCUACGGGCGGCAGCAGUGGGGGAUAUUGCACAAUGGGGGGAACCCUGAUGCAGCGACGCCGCGUGGGUGAAGAAGCGCCUCGGCGCGUAAAGCCCUGUCAGCAGGGAAGAAAAUGACGGUACCUGCAUACGAAGCCCCGGCUAACUACGUGCCAGCAGCCGCGGUAAUACGUAGGGGGCAAGCGUUAUCCGGAUUUACUGGGUGUAACGGGGGCGCAGACGGCGAUGCAAGCCAGGAGUGAAAGCCCGGGGCCCAACCCCGGGACUGCUCUUGGAACUGGGUGGCUGGAGUGCAGGAGGGGCAGGCGGAAUUCCUGGUGUAGCGGUGAAAUGCGUAGAUAUCAGGAGGAACACCGGUGGCGAAGGCGGCCUGCUGGACUGCAACUGACGUUGAGGCCCGAAAGCGUGGGGAGCAAACAGGAUUAGAUACCCUUGUAGUC
rnacentral:rRNA from 1 species